rnacentral:rRNA from 1 species
UACGUAGGGUGCGAGCGUUGUCCGGAAUUACUGGGCGUAAAGAGCUCGUAGGCGGUUUGUCGCGUCGUCCGUGAAAACUUGGGGCUCAACCCCAAGCUUGCGGGCGAUACGGGCAGACUUGAGUACUGCAGGGGAGACUGGAAUUCCUGGUGUAGCGGUGAAAUGCGCAGAUAUCAGGAGGAGCACCGGUGGCGAAGGCGGGUCUCUGGGCAGUAACUGACGCUGAGGCGCGAAAGCGUGGGGAGCAAACAGG